CAGAGAAUUUAUCAUUGUCUCACCUUGGAAGGAUGAAGGCAGUUAAUGGGGAAGCUGGCCUGCUUCCCAUUAAGAAGAGUAUCUCAGCCUCUGCCUACCAGUAAGUACCUUUUUAGAGCAAUGCAGCAUCAAGAAGGUGAAAGAACAUUGACUCCCAAGCAUCAAAUGUGUGAGCUGCUUCUUAGCUAAUGUUGAAGUCCAAUACACAUGUUCCGAAUCACAUCAGCACACAACUCCUCUAUAGUACUACCAAUGUUCAACAAGAGGUCUAUGGAAGUAAAAAUUGGACAUUGGAAAAAGCAAAAUAGAAUGAGUAUUUCUGCUUUUUGAUAUUGGAAAAGUAUUGAUACAAACAAAUGAUCAUGGAACAAAUCAAUCCAGAGUUUUUACCUGAGGCACAAAUGACUAAACUCAAAUUAUCAUAUUUCGGAUACAUGUUUUUUGUGAAAUCCAUAACACUGGGAAAGAUGGGAGAGAAAAUAAGAGUGUGGCUAGCAGCAAGGUGGAUAGCCUCUGUUACAGUGGUACUGGAUGCAUUAUUGGAAGACCUGAAGGAUCUGCUAGGGGAGACUUCAUCUUGCAAAGGUCUAUCUAUGUGGUCACUUGAUGAUAUAAUCAAUCAAUCAAAAUAUUUGAUCUGAAAGACUGUCUAUAGUUUGCAUUUUUUUAAUCAAAAUGAAUGUGGUUCACCUGGACCUAAUCAGAUUUAGAUUUAAUCUUUCAUUGACUCGGUUCACUUAGCUAUAGUCAUGCUGAAAAAAAUACUUGUUCAAUGAGAAAUUUGCUUUUUCUGUUUUGCAGAGGCCACAAAAGGUGUAGCAGGGUUAUCUUUGGGUUACCAAAUGAAUAAGGAGCAGGGAUAAUUUCAAGCACCAAAUAGGUGGAUAGCAGUGGGAUUCAGCCAGUUUGCAUCAGUUUGGCAGAACCGAUAGCUAAUUUUUUUGUUGUCCAGGCCCAGAACGGACUUCCGGAAGUGGCAUCCACACAGAGAACCAGUUGUUCACAUAUUUGAAUUCCACCACUGGUGGACAGUACAGGAAAAGCGAACUUUAUCCAUGCAUGUCCCUUAUUUAUUUGUUUGUUUGU